CCUACGGGCGGCAGCAGUGGGGGAUAUUGCACAAUGGGGGGAACCCUGAUGCAGCGACGCCGCGUGGGUGCAGAAGCGCCUCGGCGCGUAAAGCCCUGUCAGCAGGGAAGAAAAUGACGGUAACUGAAGAAGAAGCACCGGCUAACUACGUGCCAGCAGCCGAGGUAAUACGAAGGGGGCAAGCGUUAUCCGGAUUUACUGGAGGUAAAGGGAGCGCAGGCGGCACGGCAAGCCUGAUGUGAAAGCCCGCGGCCCAAGCGCGGGACUGCAUUGGGAACUACCGGGCUGGAGUGCCGGAGAGGUAGGCGGAAUUCCUAGUGUAGCGGUGAAAUGCGUAGAUAUUAGGAGGAACACCAGUGGCGAAGGCGGCCUACUGGACGGUGACUGACGCUGAGGCUCGAAAGCGUGGGGAGCAAACAGGAUUAGAUACCCCAGUAGUC
rnacentral:rRNA from 1 species